rnacentral:rRNA from 1 species
UAACGAUACGGGACUCAUCCGAGGCCCCGUAAUCGGAAUGAGUACACUUUAAAUCCUUUAACGAGGACCCAUUGGAGGGCAAGUCUGGUGCCAGCAGCCGCGGUAAUUCCAGCUCCAAUAGCGUAUAUUAAAGUUGUUGCGGUUAAAAAGCUCGUAGUUGAAUCUGUGUGCCACGCUGUUGGUUCAUCGCUCGCGAUGUUUAACUGACAUGAUUGUGGGACGUCCUACCGGUGGGCUUAGCUCCUCUCGAGGGGCGGUCCAGUUAUAUCCCAUCGCGGUGCUCUUUAUCGAGUGUCGAGGUGGGCCGGUACGUUUACUUUGAACAAAUUAGAGUGCUCAAAGCAGGCUAUGUUCGCCUGAAUACUUCGUGCAUGGAAUAAUGGAAUAGGACCUCGGUUCUAUUUUGUUGGUUUUCGGAACCCCGAGGUAAUGAUUAAUAGGGACAGAUGGGGGCAUUCGUAUUGCGACGUUAGAGGUGAAAUUCUUGGAUCGUCGCAAGACGGACAGAAGCGAAAGCAUUUGCCAAAAAUGUUUUCAUUAAUCAAGAACGAAAGUUAGAGGUUCGAAGGCGAUCAGAUACCGCCCUAGUUCUAACCAUAAACGAUGCCAGCUAGCGAUCCGCCGAAGUUCCUCCGAUGACUCGGCGGGCAGCUUCCGGGAAACCAAAGCUUUUGGGUUCCGGGGGAAGUAUGGUUGCAAAGCUGAAACUUAAAGGAAUUGACGGAAGGGCACCACCAGGAGUGGAGCCUGCGGCUUAAUUUGACUCAACAC